rnacentral:lncRNA from 1 species
AAAAAUAUUAAAAAUAUCAAAAUAAAUAUUUCUCAAUAAAUUGAAAAUAAAUUUUAAAAAAUAUGUAUACUUAAAUAACACUAAGAUAGAUGUAACUUAACAAGCAAAUGCCUAUAAAAAAAUAACAAAAUUAACAAAUGUCUUUAAAAUAAUAACAAAAUUAACAGUAAAAUAAGUUUUAUAUAAAAUCCAAACAAUAACAACAAAAUAGUAGCAAUAUAAUAGUAAAAUGGUAGCAAAAUAGGGAGAAAACAAUAAGAAAAUAAUAUUAAAAAACAAAAAAAAAUUGUCCUUUAAUGAAUUCAGGCUGGGCCAAAAAUGCCUUACCCGAGGUCCGGCCCAUUUUCUAAACGGGAGUUAUUUUUUUGUCCAAACUCAUUUUUUGGGCCUAUAUUUUUAUCUAAAUCC